GGCCAUGGCCAUAUCUUCCUGAAGACAUCUGAUCUCAUCUGUUCUUGGACAGUAAGCAGAGUCAGGCCAGGUGAAUGCUUGAAUGGGAGGAAAUAGUGUAGAACCUUCUGAGAAGCUGUACCCUAGCUU
ensembl:rRNA 5S_rRNA 5S ribosomal RNA